CUCUGAAAAGUUGAUGGAUAACCCAUAAACGGCUAGGAUCUAAGUAGGACCACCUUCGUACAUAAACCUCUACCUCUCAAUGUUGACACCGUGAUUUGUGAGAGGAAUCAUCCAUAAUUUGGUCAAAUCAAAUUUUUAAAGCACGAUUCUUUGUCCAUAAUUGGACCAAUCGGAAAUCAAGGAAGAAUAAUCCUUUUGGAAAAUUGGAAAAUGUGAAGUCUUUUGGCGUCAACCUAUCUCUGACAGCCGACCCAAAGUGCACUCACGUGCUUCCCUUCCCAACAUUAUUCCUUUCUCCUUUCCGUUGUUCAGUGCUUGCCCAGACUUCCCAAAACAAACUCAGAGAGAGAGAGAGAGAGAGAGAAAGAUGGAACCACCGGCUCCACAGGCCAUAGAGACUUCUAGCAAGAGCUUCGAGUACCAAGCUGACGGAGAUGGGCAAGACAAGGCCGUCAAUGAAUGUUGUUCUUGCUGCUUUGACUGCACAGAGAGCUGCUUCGAUUACUUGUUCUGUAACCUCUGUUAGAGAGCAGUACAAUUUGCUCGCGCGGUACUAUAUAUUGUCGUGGCCAAAAAACAAAAUAGAGGAAAAAAUAAUGGCUUUUGGUUGUAUCAUUACUUAAAUGAUGGUAAUUUGAUGUGGAAAAGUUGUUCCUUUUUUAA